GUUGAGUGUGAAUUCAUAGUCAGAGAUUCAGCUGAUUGGGAAGACCAGAAGACUACCUGGCUGUCACUGAGCUCUGGUUUCAGGAGGAAUGGACAAGAUCUUAGGAGCAUUAUUUUUAAUUCUGUGGCUUCAACUAUGCUGGGUGAGUGGCCAACAGAAGGAGAAAAGUGACCAGCAGCAGGUGAAACAAAGUCCUCAAUCUUUGAUUGUCCAGAAAGGAGAGAUUUCAGUUAUGAACUGUACUUAUGAGAACAGUGCAUUUGAUUACUUUCCAUGGUACCGACAAUUCCCUGGGAAAAGCCCUGCAUUAUUGAUAGCCAUACAUUCAGUUAUGAUUGUAAAAGAAGAAGGAAGAUUCAAAAUCUUCUUCAAUAAAAGUGCCAAACACUUCUCACUGCAUAUCAUGGCUUCCCAGCCUGGAGACUCAGCCAUCUACUUCUGUGCAGCAAGCACACAGUCCUCCCCAGGCACCUGCAGCCUGUACCCAAACCUGCAGUUGAGGGUCCAGCCAAACCCCACAGUGGGGGCUUAUGUGGGCAAAGAUGUAAACUAG